GCUCCCAUCGUCUAGUGGCCAAGGACACCGCUCUUUCUAGGCGGCAACCGGGGUUCGAAUCCCUGUGGGAGUGCCA
rnacentral:tRNA from 1 species